rnacentral:lncRNA from 1 species
UUUCACUCUGUGGCCCAGGCUGGAGUGCAGUGGUGGGAUCUCGGCUCACUGCAACCUAUGCCUCCUUGGUUCAAGUGAUUCUCCUGCCUCAGCCUCCCAAGUAACUGGGACUACAGGCAUGUGCCACCACGCCCAGCUAAUUUUUGUAUUUUUAGUAGAGACAGGGUUUUACCAUGUUAGCCACACUGGUCUUGAACUCC